UACGUAGGGUGCAAGCGUUGUCCGGAAUUAUUGGGCGUAAAGAGCUCGUAGGCGGUUUGUCGCGUCUGCUGUGAAAACUCGGGGCUUAACCCCGGGCCUGCAGUGGGUACGGGCAGACUAGAGUGCGGUAGGGGAGACUGGAAUUCCUGGUGUAGGCGGUGAAAUGCGCAGAUAUCAGGAGGAACACCGGUGGCGAAGGCGGGUCUCUGGGCCGAUACUGACGCUGAGGAGCGAAAGCGUGGGGAGCGAACAGG
rnacentral:rRNA from 1 species